rnacentral:lncRNA from 1 species
GUGUGCUCUUCCGAUCUGGCAUGCUGGGAUUAAUGCAAAGCACAGGUUAGAAGUGUAUGGUCACCAUGAAUUGUGGAGGCUGGACUCUGUUUGGCACUGACCGUUAUGUCUUUGAUCAAAGGCUAUAUAUAAUCAUGUGUUUUAAAAUAAGGGUACUUCAGUCACUUCAAAGGUAAAAUAAUUUAAUUUUCUCCAUUUAGACAUUUAACAAACACAAAAUUGUACUCCCAUUCCAAGGCACACUUUUUAACUUUUCACAUUUAAGUAAUUACACUGGUUUAUAAAAUACUUAGGCUUUAUCUUUCC